rnacentral:rRNA from 1 species
UACGUAGGGGCCUAGCGUUGUCCGGAUUUAUUGGGCGUAAAGAGCUCGUAGGCGGUUCGGUAAGUCUGUCGUGAAAUCCUGAGGCUCAACCUCGGGCGUGCGAUGGAUACUGCCGGGCUAGAGGGUGGUAGAGGCGAGUGGAAUUCCCGGUGUAGCGGUGAAAUGCGCAGAUAUCGGGAGGAACACCAGUAGCGAAGGCGGCUCGCUGGGCCACACCUGACGCUGAGACGCGAAAGCUAGGGGAGCGAACAGG